rnacentral:rRNA from 1 species
GACGAACGCUGGCGGCGUGCUUAACACAUGCAAGUCGAACGGAAAGGCCCUGCUUUUGUGGGGUGCUCGAGUGGCGAACGGGUGAGUAACACGUGAGUAACCUGCCCUUGACUUUGGGAUAACUUCAGGAAACUGGGGCUAAUACCUGAUAGGAGCUCCUGCUGCAUGGUGGGGGUUGGAACGUUUCGGCGGUUGGGGAUGGACUCGCGGCUUAUCAGCUUGUUGGUGGGGUAGUGGCUUACCAAGGCUUUGACGGGUAGCCGGCCUGAGAGGGUGACCGGCCACAUUGGGACUGAGAUACGGCCCAGACUCCUACGGGAGGCAGCAGUGGGGAAUAUUGCACAAUGGGCGGAAGCCUGAUGCAGCAACGCCGCGUGCGGGAUGACGGCCUUCGGGUUGUAAACCGCUUUCGCCUGUGACGAAGCGUGAGUGACGGUAAUGGGUAAAGAAGCACCGGCUAACUACGUG